AGUAACCCUAGUAACCAUGGGUGACAGCUAUGAGAGAAAGAGUUUGUAUGUACCUGUAACGUGUUUUUAUGAAAAUUUACUAAUUAUACGAGUCUUCUCUCGUCUUUGAGACGGUGAAGUACUGCAAACUCAAGCUGAAUCAAGAAAAAAGGAAAAAAAGCAGUGUGCAAGGGAUUGCCCCGUAUACUAAAGCAGCCGCUCUAGUCGCACGUUCAACAUAUACCUAACUACCUACCUUAUCAAUGAUAUGGUCUGUUGAUUGGAAGGGGAAAGGUUUUGUAAACAGUUCGUCUUACGCCCACAUUUGAAGAAUUGACAAUGGAUAUCAGUCUGUGUGUCAAUAAUCUUGAUGUUACAGAAGAAUCAUGGAAUGUUUUAUUAAAAAAGGUGCUACAGAAUCAAAUACCAAUAGCAACAGUAAUGUGAUAGCCAAGUUAGUGGAUGUAGCUGAGCUAGAGCUACUAAAAGAAGAAAACUGAAGACUGUAAAAUAAUUUGUAUGAAAAAUGGGGAAACCACCAUACUGUGAACAGAUCUCCAAACUGUUUGGGCAGCUAUGGGGAAAAGAGAGAUUAAAGUCUGUCAGUGGCUAGCCUCCGUAAAAGAAAAAUGAAUUCAAAUGGAUACACAGUAUUCAAAACAGCUGGAAGCAUCAAGACAGAAAUAAAGUUCAAGGAAUUAGAUUUCGGGGAAUUACAUAAUGAGUGCAAGAAGAUUGAACAAAAUGCUAAAGCGCAACAAAAGAAUAAAAGACUUCCAACCUCCUCCCACAAAGAUGUUUAAGGAAAAACCUUAAGUUGGAGGUCAAUACCUUUUUUUUCUCGCUGCAAGUUUUGUAAAACAAAUGGUAAACUGGUAAAAUGAAACAACGCAGGACCUAUUACUUUGGAUCAAUUGUUUUCACAAGUGAAGAUUGAUUCCACAAUCUUCAGCUUCCCAGGCAGACACCCAUCCACAGAGCCAUGGGUGAUAGAUGAUAUUCACAGUGGGCAUGACUGUGUUGUAAAUUGGUAUCACUUUUACAAUGUCAAACAGUCAGCAGGUUUAGAUCACAUGUCUAACUGUGAAAGAGAUCAUGUGUCUGUCGACGAAAAUGGCUCUCUGUUUGCGACAUCAGACCUCCCCGAGGUAUUAGAAAAAUGGUCGCGUUUUGGUUAGAGUUUCUUCGCCGUCCGGUGCAUCAAUCGGAAUGAUGUUCACUUCCUCGACGUCAUUGCUCACGUAAUUUAAUAACUUUGUGCUUCAAAAAAAGUUGUAGUAAUCUUAAAUUUUUCAAAGAAAACUUUGAAAAUUUUUCAAUCGGAAAAUUGCAAAUUGCAAAUCGGAAGAGGGUAUUAUUUUCCUUGACAUAAAGAACGGACAUUUUAUGCAUUAGCAAGUCAUUCGCAUCCAAACAGAUCAAACGCACGAGGUGUUCCGCCGCGUUCGGCAACUUACAAUCCAGCAACGCAUCCAUCAACAGAAUGUAUUAAAGAAGAAAGUAAUAACCAAAUGCCGACUGCACGAUUUCCAUGCAAGAUGAAUGUUAAAAUCGAAGGAGAUCUGGUGAUGCAACGGACUAUGUCAUGUCAAACCGUUAGCUGAAUACAAUGAAUACUAUCAGUUCUCCAGAACGAGAGGUUAAUAAUCAUACUGAAUCACAAGAGGUACAUACUUGAACGAGAUUUUGAAACUAUAACAGCUGGAAAUGCAUGUGGAAAUUUCAAAGGACGCUACCUGCACGUUCCCUUUAGUCGCUGAUUCAUCUCGAAGAUAAAAUAUUAAAAUUUGUAUAAAUUGAAGUGCAUAUCUGGGCUCCCUUCUUUUCUGUGGCCCCGUUUCCCCUUGACUCGUAAUAAGCCCGUAGGGGGUCAUGCCCCUACUGUGAUCAGCA
rnacentral:lncRNA from 1 species